GAUGUUAGCGGCGGACGGGUGAGUAACACGUGGGUAACCUGCCUGUAAGACUGGGAUAACUCCGGGAAACCGGGGCUAAUACCGGAUGGUUGUUUGAACCGCAUGGUUCAAACAUAAAAGGUGGCUUCGGCUACCACUUACAGAUGGACCCGCGGCGCAUUAGCUAGUUGGUGAGGUAAUGGCUCACCAAGGCAACGAUGCGUAGCCGACCUGAGAGGGUGAUCGGCCACACUGGGACUGAGACACGGCCCAGACUCCUACGGGAGGCAGCAGUAGGGAAUCUUCCGCAAUGGACGAAAGUCUGACGGAGCAACGCCGCGUGAGUGAUGAAGGUUUUCGGAUCGUAAAGCUCUGUUGUUAGGGAAGAACAAGUACCGUUCGAAUAGGGCGGUACCUUGACGGUACCUAACCAGAAAGCCACGGCUAACUACGUGCCAGCAGCCGCGGUAAUACGUAGGUGGCAAGCGUUGUCCGGAAUUAUUGGGCGUAAAGGGCUCGCAGGCGGUUUCUUAAGUCUGAUGUGAAAGCCCCCGGCUCAACCGGGGAGGGUCAUUGGAAACUGGGGAACUUGAGUGCAGAAGAGGAGAGUGGAAUUCCACGUGUAGCGGUGAAAUGCGUAGAGAUGUGGAGGAACACCAGUGGCGAAGGCGACUCUCUGGUCUGUAACUGACGCUGAGGAGCGAAAGCGUGGGGAGCGAACAGGAUUAGAUACCCUGGUAGUCCACGCCGUAAACGAUGAGUGCUAAGUGUUAGGGGGUUUCCGCCCCUUAGUGCUGCAGCUAACGCAUUAAGCACUCCGCCUGGGGAGUACGGUCGCAAGACUGAAACUCAAAGGAAUUGAC
rnacentral:rRNA from 1 species